rnacentral:rRNA from 1 species
UACGGUAGGGUGCGAGCGUUGUCCGGAAUUACUGGGCGUAAAGAGCUCGUAGGUGGUUUGUCGCGUUGUUCGUGAAAACUCACAGCUUAACUGUGGGCGUGCGGGCGAUACGGGCAGACUGGAGUACUGCAGGGGAGACUGGAAUUCCUGGUGUAGCGGUGGAAUGCGCAGAUAUCAGGAGGAACACCGGUGGCGAAGGCGGGUCUCUGGGCAGUAACUGACGCUGAGGAGCGAAAGCGUGGGGAGCGAACAGG